UGCGGUUUAAUUGGAUUCAACGCCGGAAAACUCACCAGAGCCGACGGACAAAUGAAAGCCAGUGUGAUGAGCUUGCUGGAUUGUUCGAGAGGUAGUGCAUGGCCGUCGUCAGUUCGUACCGUAAGGCGUUCUGUUAAGUCAGAUAACGAACGAGACCCUCAUCCCUAUUUGCUAAGAUUACUCCGGUAAUCACAGGACUAUAGGGAGACCGCUGGCGCGAAGUCAGAGGAAGGCGAGGGCAACGGUAGGUCAGUAUGCUCCGAAUGCUCUGGGCUACACGCGCAAUACAAAGGACGGGACAAUGGGCCGCUGUACCGAAAGGACUCGGCUAUCCCGAAACCCGUUCGUAGUUCGGAUUGAGGGCUGUAACUCGCCCUCAUGAAGCUGGAUUAGGUAGUAAUCGCGUCUCAAAAAGGCGCGGUGAAUAUGCCCCUGCUCCUUGCACACACCGCCCGUCAAACCAUCUUAGUUGGGGGUGGGUGAGGCUGCCUUUUAGUGGGGUAUUCGAGCCUGCCUUCGACAAGGAGGGUUAAGUCGUAACAAGGUAUCUGUAGGGGAACCUGCAGAUG
rnacentral:rRNA from 1 species